UACGUAGGGCGCAAGCGUUGUCCGGAGUUAUUGGGCGUAAAGAGCUCGUAGGCGGCUUGUCACGUCGGAUGUGAAAGCCCGGGGCUUAACCCCGGGUCUGCAUUCGAUACGGGCAGGCUAGAGUGUGGUAGGGGAGAUCGGAAUUCCUGGUGUAGCGGUGAAAUGCGCAGAUAUCAGGAGGAACACCGGUGGCGAAGGCGGAUCUCUGGGCCAUUACUGACGCUGAGGAGCGAAAGCGUGGGGAGCGAACAGG
rnacentral:rRNA from 1 species